GACGUAGGUGGCGAACGUUAUCCGGAUUUAUUGGGCGUAAAGAGCGUGUAGGCGGCCAGACAGGUCCGUUGUGAAAACUCGAGGCUCAACCUCGAGACGCCGAUGGAAACCGUCUGGCUAGAGUCCGGAAGAGGAGAGUGGAAUUCCCGGUGUAGCGGUGAAAUGCGCAGAUAUCGGGAAGAACACCCGUGGCUAAGGCGGCUCUCUAGUACGGUACUGACGCUGAGACGCGAAAGCGUGGGGAGCGAACAGG
rnacentral:rRNA from 1 species